rnacentral:rRNA from 1 species
AUUGAACGCUGGCGGCAGGCCUAACACAUGCAAGUCGAGCGAGCGGCGGACGGGUGAGUAAUGUCUGGGAAACUGCCUGAUGGAGGGGGAUAACUACUGGAAACGGUAUCUAAUACCGCAUACCAUCAGAUGUGCCCAUUGGGUGUUAGCUAGUAGGUGGGGUAACGGCUCACCAAGGCAACGAUCCCUAGCUGGUCUGCGCGGAUGACCAGCCACACUGGAACUGAGACACGGUCCAGACUCCAACGGGAGGCAGCAGUGGGGAAUAUUGCGCAAUGGGCGAAAGCCUGAUGCAGCAAUGCCGCGUGUGUGAAGAAGGCCUUCGGGUUGUAAAGCACUUUCAGCGGGGAGGCGUUACCUACACAGGAAGCAACGGCUAACUCCGUGCCAGCAGCCGCGGUAAUUC